GUGCCAGCAGCCGCGGUAAUACGAGGGGUGCAAGCGUUGUCCGGAUUCAUUGGGUGUAAAGGGUGCGUAGGUGGAAUUGUAAGUUGGAAUUUAAAUCCCGCAGCUUAACUGCGGACCUGGUUUCAAAACUGCAGUUCUUGAGUUCGAAAGAGGGGAGUGGAAUUCCUAGUGUAGCGGUGGAAUGCGUAGAUAUUAGGAGGAACACCAGUGGCGAAGGCGGCUCUCUGGUUCGAUACUGACACUAAGGCAUGAAAGCGUGGGGAGCAAACAGGAUUAGAUACCCUGGUAGUCCACGCCGUAAACGAUGAGUACUUGGUGCUGGAGGAAUUCAACCCCCUACGGUGCCGGAGUUAACGCGUUAAGUACUCCACCUGGGGACUACGGUCGCAAGGCUGAAACUUAAGGAAUUGACGG
rnacentral:rRNA from 1 species